GAAAUGCGAUACUUGGUGUGAAUUGCAGAAUCCCGUGAACCAUCGAGUCUUUGAACGCAAGUUGCGCCCGAAGCCAUUAGGCCGAGGGCACGCCUGCCUGGGUGUCACACAUCGUUUCCCCAACGCAAACAUGUAACAAUGUUGCUGCGCGGGAGGUCAGCAUACACCCCGCGCAGCAACAUUGUUACAUGUUUGCGUUGGGGAAACGAUGUGUGACACC
rnacentral:misc_RNA from 1 species